UAGGGAAUCUUCCGCAAUGGACGCAAGUCUGACGGAGCAACGCCGCGUGAGUGAAGAAGGAUUUCGGUUCGUAAAACUCUGUUGUUAGAGAAGAACAGCGCAUAGAGUAACUGUUAUGCGUGUGACGGUAUCUAACCAGAAAGCCACGGCUAACUACGUGCCAGCAGCCGCGGUAAUACGUAGGUGGCAAGCGUUAUCCGGAAUUAUUGGGCGUAAAGCGCGCGUAGGCGGUUUUUUAAGUCUGAUGUGAAAGCCCACGGCUCAACCGUGGAGGGUCAUUGGAAACUGGAAAACUUGAGUGCAGAAGAGGACAGUGGAAUUCCAUGUGUAGCGGUGAAAUGCGCAGAGAUAUGGAGGAACACCAGUGGCGAAGGCGACUCUCUGGUCUGUAACUGACGCUGAGGCUCGAAAGCGUGGGUAGCAAACAGG
rnacentral:rRNA from 1 species